UACGAAGGGGGCUAGCGUUGUUCGGAAUUACUGGGCGUAAAGCGCGCGCAGGCGGUCUUCCAAGUCAGUGGUGAAAGCCCGGAGCUCAACUCCGGAACUGCCAUUGAAACUGUAAGACUUGAGGAUGAGAGAGGUGAGUGGAAUUCCCAGUGUAGAGGUGAAAUUCGUAGAUAUCGGGAGGAACACCAGUGGCGAAGGCGGCGAUCUGGGUCGAUACUGACGCUGAGGUGCGAAAGCGUGGGGAGCAAACAGG
rnacentral:rRNA from 1 species